rnacentral:rRNA from 1 species
UACGUAGGGGGCAAGCGUUAUCCGGAUUUACUGGGUGUAAAGGGAGCGCAGGCGGCACGGCAAGCCUGAUGUGAAAGCCCGCGGCCCAACCGCGGGACUGCAUUGGGAACUACCGGGCUGGAGUGCCGGAGAGGUAGGCGGAAUUCCUAGUGUAGCGGUGAAAUGCGUAGAUAUUAGGAGGAACACCAGUGGCGAAGGCGGCCUGCUGGACGAUGACUGACGCUGAGGCUCGAAAGCGUGGGGAGCAAACAGG